rnacentral:lncRNA from 1 species
GUUAAAACCUAAAUGAGCAACAAACGAGGUGACGUGCGUUAUCAGUUUUGUCUUCCAUGUCUUCCUCAUCCUGCUGUUUGCUCCACGGCUCUUGACAGGAUGGAGACGAGGAAAGAACUUCCACAUCCACAUUCAAAACGUCUGCCAGAACUCCCUCAGGCAAGCGAUUACUUUAAAACAUGAAAGAAAUUGCACCUUUUCCUUAAGGGCAAGAUGGUGCUGUGGGCUUUCCUCUCUCCUGAUGAGAUGAUGCAAAUGGACUCCAUAGAGAAACGCUGCCCGUGUAACAAUGCAGUUACGCAACCCGGUGCAUGACACAUGAAUUGCAGCGCACCUGAGAUCCUGAUGAAAUCCUGGGAGCCUGGAGCUGUCAAACAUGGUUUUAAAAAAUAAAGGGAAUACACCCAGCCCACACCCUGACUUUACAACCUUUAAUUAAUUAGAGGAAAGAAAGAG